UUCUGUCUGUAACUUAGUCAAGAAGAAGUCAACCUUGAACGGGCCUGCAGCUGAAUAUUAUUGUGGACAAGACCAGCUUGCUAUAUCAUCUUUUAUCAAAAGAGGAUUCAUUAUCCAUUUCAAGUUUGCUCUGGACAGAGCAAGGUUAAGACCUCCUUGAUAAUCUUGCUGAGAAAGGUACCCCUGGAGAUGACCACUUGCAGCCUUCCAGUUAUCUUUUCUCCGUUGCUAAACUGGGUUGGAGAAAACAUCAUUUGGUAUAUGGAGGAUGAUUUGCUUUGUCCAUCAAGUUGUCAUUUGUGGACAGCCGAAAUAAGACAAUUAAUCAACAACUUGAGGAUUGCUCAAGACAGGUAUUUUAUACCAACACGCUGUGGAAAUAUAAAUUUCUAGCAUCUAAUUCCAAAUGAACAAUACUCUACGUAUAACUGAAAAGUUAUUUUCUUUGGUUUUUUUUAAUUAAAUCAUUGCAUGGACGUGCCAUAUAGGAGGGACAUUUAACCUUGCCUUGCUGACUACAGACUUCAUUUGUAUGCUAAAGCGAUGUAAUUAAUGGUUUCACAGCAUGGCUGUAUCUAUUGUAUUCCCUGUCUCCAGAACAUCAUUUGCAAAUUGUUGUAAUGAUGUACUUAUCUAUUGAUGAGAUCAGCAUGGCACCCAGACUUCAUUUGCAACCAUGGCACCCAGACUUCAUUUGCAUGCUUUGUUUUACUGUCCCCCAUGACUGACCCCACCUACAUGCUGUAAGAUGUAUAAAAUGUAUUAUGUUUUGCUGUGGAGUUGAGAGUGCUUUCGAUGACGCCACAGCCACGCUGAGUUUCCUCUUAUUAAAAAGGAUUCUGCUUUGAAGACAACCGAAAGAUUCUCCCUGGUUUUUUGUGGGCUCUUAGAAGUUUACAACAGUUUUGGUGCCGCUGACCCGGAUAGAGACUGAAAUCAUCCACUUCUCAACAAUUUGCAACAAAAGACUGAAAUCCACCUGAAAUUCAACUUGAACCUUCAAGAUCAAGGAAACUUCACUUCAGACGGAAUCUUCAGCUCAACUGCAAUUUGAAGUCACUCAGCAAUACAAAGAUCAGACCACUUCAGACUGAACCUUUUCAGUUCAACCACGAUUUGAUACAACUUGUUGUCCUGAGACCCAUAGACACCAACCUUCUCACCUACAAGUCCAGUCACAACCUUCAAGAGGCCACUGCUAAACCAACCAUCACAGAAGAAAACACAACGCAGAGAACCACACACAGGAACUUCAGUCAUCCAUCAAUAUGAUCAAGAUUGCCGUACUAGUGAUCAUCAUUAACAUCGCACAAGCCAUCGACUCACGAAACAACAUAUUCUUAGAGCUGAUGAAUAUGUCAAGAAAUGCCUUGUUUGCUGGAAAGAACAUCUGCAUGCCACACCCACCUUCAGUAGGAGCAGGAAUCCCCUGGGUGGCACAACCCGUGUCCAACUGUGACAUGUGUACGUUCUACCAGCUAUCAGAGAAAAUACACACGCCACACCAAGCUCUCUACAUCUGCAUAACUCCGCUCCCACCACAAAGGAAGAAGAUGGCUGCAUUCCAGGACUCACUUGUGCACAAACAUGGUGGUCAAGAACUCUUGGAGCAAUAAUUCCUUCUUAUGGUGUGAUGCAAGCCCUUGAUCAAGUCAGAAGCUUAUCAAAUUCUGUUCAGAAACUGGCCAAUGAUACAGCUUUUGCCCUGGGUAAUAUCACAAACACUCUUGUUUCACACAAGAUAAUGAUCUUACAGAACAGAGUGGCCUUGGAUUACAUUCUAGCAAAGCAAGGGGGAGCUUGCACCAUCAUAGGCCCAGAGUGUUGCACCGGAUUAAUGGAUCCAACCAAGAACUUGAACAAAAUCCAACAAGACAUACUUGAUCUUUCAGUAAAAUUGCACCGUAUGACUGAAGACAAUUCUUCAUGGUUUGGAAACCUGUUAGGAAAACCCUGGCUGUGGAUCAAGGAAAUAGCUAUUCUUCUAUUGCUUUUCCUACUGUUGUACUAUCUAUGCAUCCACAGUAUCAAAUGUUUUACUCAACAUUUGACCCACGCCCAUGACGAAGAAAUGACAGUUCCAACCAGAACAGAAUAUUAUCUAUAAGAAAUCCAUGGAUUUUAACGGCAUGUUUGUUCCUGUGUCAACAUGUCAUUUGUAAAUAUAGACAGUAAAAACUGAGCAAGUAGUAUGCGCCUGUAACCAUAAUACGUUACAAGAAUGAACUUUUUUUUAGUGUAUAAAUUUAUUUAUUGUGAGAGUU